rnacentral:rRNA from 1 species
AUGUACUUGAUCUCAACUGUCUUUGCGCCUACCACAUCUCUUCGCUCAAGCAACAAGUGCUUCCCCAUCCUGGCGAAGCUGAAAGACGUGAAGAAUAUGAAUUUGUGUAAAUUCAUCGUGGACUUCCUGCAUGAUGCAUUCUCAAACAAGAUGUACCAGAAGGGAUGUCGACUCCAUUUAAUGCUCAUGUACGUCGAUCGUCUUGAUCUGUCCACCGUUGACUUUACUGGGAUAGGAGGCCCGCCACCGCCACAUAAGUUUGUUGUCUCUGCGUGGACGUACGAUGCUGUCAACGCUGUGCUUGCCGCAGACAAGAUAACUGAUAAGAAAUAUGGAAAACUGCAGCUGAUGGCCAAGCAUGCUAUAGACUACAGCGUGUUUGGUGGGCCUCAAAACUUUGGCAAGUGGAUGGACGUGCACUCAGCUCCGUCUUGUCCUGCUGAGGCGAGGGCACCUGUUGAGCAUCUAAUUGGGCAGUUUGCUUCCGGAAUGACCAGCUUGCUCGGGAAGUUGGUUGAGGGUUGGACGUCCCUUAAUGGCUCUGACAGCGACGCGGUCGCGAGGCAAUUCACUCCAUUCGUUGCAGAACGGACACACCGGCCAACUGGUUGCCGUGGCCGGUAUGACUACAACAGCUCCUAG